AAGGUCAGGUGUAUAUGCAUUGAUGCAACCCUGAAAUAAGGUAGGCUGAAGUUAAUAUCUUUCUUGGAUAUUAGAGUCGCUGACCAGAAGGUCUGCAGGGUGUUUAUUAUGUUGAUGUAAGGAAUUAGGUCAGCUGUGUGUAUUGUAUCCUAUAAAUACAACCUCAUGCAUGUACGUUAAAUAGACGCAAGUAGCUUGUUGUAACAAGAUAGAAAAAGGGAGCAGAAGCUCUGUGUUUGUGAAACAAAAAAAGGCUGUAGCCUAAGUACUCUGUGUAAGGCAAAAUUCAGCCAUAACCUUAUUUCACAUAUAUAUAAUAGUGUGCUUGUGUUUAGAUUUCUGUUUUUAUUUCCCACCAUACAGUAAACAUAUAAAGCCUAUUCACGUUUCCAACAUCGCGAGUUUUUGUUCUCCCUUCUCAGGUUCAUAUUUUGUUUCUCUGUUAUAUAUAAAUAUAGGUCCAUCAGUAAUUAAUGACUUCUCAUACUAAUUUUCACUUCUUUUCUCAAAUUUGCUUCCACUGCUAUUCUAAUCCACGAAGAUCUAGGCAGCCAUUGAUAUAUGAAUGGAACAGUUAAAUAUGUUGCAUUUCAUGUGCUUUCACCCGAGGGUGACCGGGGUCUUACAAUAUUCGAAGUUGCAGACAAGAUUCAAAUCUGACAACAAGCAUGACACCAGAAGCCUGAAUUGCUGCUGCCUUUUCAAGGGUUCCAAGCUUUUUGAGAGGACAGCUACAUCAACUUGUUACAAGAAUGGAAUCUUAGGUGGAGAAGUUGAGGAUUUUGAUAAAGAUGAAGCAGACAGCAGAGAUGGAGACUGAAGAGACAAUGACGUAUAUGCUCCAAGACGGAUCAAGACCCUCCUCAGAUGAACCUUCUAGUUUAAGUUAAGUAAUAUUUGCCCUGUAUAUAUAUAUCUCUUGUACUAGCUCGCAAUUAAAAUAUUAAAAUUUAUUAUCAUGUCAGUGUUUGAUAUGUUUUACGGCCUCUUUAUUUUAAAAACUAUUUUGAAGGAUGUGUUAUAUAUAUGAUUACUAAAACGUAUUUAUACAUUCGCUUUCAAAUACACCUCUCAUUAAGAUACCCCCUCUCCAGGCAGAAAACCUCUCAUUGAGUCAUCAAGUAAUCUAUCUAAACCACUAAAUUUGCCAUAAUCUUUAGUUGUUAACAAUAGAUGAACCCUCAAAACAUUCUAGCUAGGAGUGAGCAGGAAUUCCAAUCCCCCGGUCUGAAUUCAAGAUGAUGUUUAUCAUAAAAUUCAAUACAUUGGAGGGAAAAGCUUGAAAGAAAACAACAAGGCUUCAAACAAGGAACUUGAAGUCAUUUUUGAAGUAUUACUACAAAAUGUAUGUGUGUAUAAUAAGUUAAAAAUCGACUUAAUGAGUCAAAAACCGACUUCAUGUUAUAAAUAUAAGCAAAAAACGACUUCAUGUCACAAGUUGUUUUGAGUCAUGUCCUAGCUUUUAGUUUUUUUUGUUUUGGAGUCUAUCUAUAUAUUGUACUGCUCUCAGAAAUAAAAGACAAGUUUAUUGACAAGCAUAUAUUAUGUGUUCUAUUUCUAUACCUUUCCAGUUUAAUAUUUAAUAGUCAAUACAUUUAUAUCAUAUAAAUUACUAACGAGCUGAUUUGGUAACAGUUCCUAGAGGUUCUCUUGUGCCAAAGAUAUGGAUGAUGAUUGAUAUGAAUAAGAUCAACGGAGAGUCGAUUAGCCUGAGUUAUCAGAUGUUGGCUAGAAGUAAUUAUAUAGCUUUGGCUUUCAAGAUGAUAGUGUUUGUGCUAGCACAGGGAAUUUGGAGGAUGGUAGAACCGAGUGAUGCAGAUUCACCUGUUGAAUAAAAAAGGGACAAAGUUGCCUUGACCAUGAUUUACUCAUACUUGUUGAUACUGUUGGAUAAGUAAACUAACUCUUGGACUUAGAGGAAGAAUCUGGAACUCUGUUAUAUUCAGUGAAUUUAGGAAUAUGUGAGAACACAAUAAUUAUGAUUCAUAGAACUUGGAAGAUGUAUCUAUUUUGAUUCAUGUAUGAUGUUUUAUAUUCUCCUAUUAUAUAAAGUAGAAGAUUGUAUUGUUUUGAAUAAGAUUAAGAAUACAGAGAUAUUUAG